GGCGACGUAGCUCAGUUGGUAAGAGCGCCCGACUCAUAAUCGGGAGGUCGACAGUUCAAGUCUGUCCGUCGCUACGA
rnacentral:tRNA from 1 species